rnacentral:lncRNA from 1 species
UUCACAUAUUUCUUCUAGAAGGAGCAGUUCAGAGAGGUUUUGCUCUCCUCCUUAACCUGCGGUGGUUUCCUGAUUUCUCGUGGAUUAACCACGUUCUCCCUCUUUAUUUUUUCUCCAUAAUCUCAGUCUCCUUCUCUCUUCAUAAAGAUCGCUCCUUUAAUUGCAUAAUAUACCCUGAGAAAACACGCAGGAGAUAUUGGCAAUAACCCUAACCCUUCCCUAUAAAUUGCAAAAUCUCAAUGCGGGCUAAUCUCUUUCAUGCAAUUGCUGAUUGGAUUUGAAUCUCAUCUUCGUUCUUAACUUCAGGUCAAACUGAUUUCUUGACCAAACGUCAACUGACAUGGAAGACUUCAUUUUGUAGCCUUAAUUUCAUGUUAAAGAAGAACAUUUGUUACCUAUUUUAUGGUUCAUGAAGAGAACUCACAUCAUAGUACUUUGGCUGUUUGUUUGAAGCCGUGAAAAUGAAGCCCUUUAAUGGAAGGUAGAUGUCGAGACCAAUGAGGUUAAUACUCAAAUGACGUUGCCACUAUGGAGCUUGGACAGUGUUUUGGAGCUUGAGUGUCAAGAGGAUAUUUAGCAUACUUCAGGACCACCCGAUUAGCAUGGAGCAGCUAGAGUUAUUUUCCGGGUCAACACUCAACCCAUUAAAAGAGAAGUCUCAGCUUAUGUUGGGUUAGAGGGGAAGGAAGUUAUGAGCAACAGUUAUCUCUAUUUUCCAGUUUACUAUUUAGACUAGACUAUCGUUGUUUUGUUCUUUGUCUUUGAAAAACUCAGUAUUUAUUUCUUGUAUUUGGAGAUUAGCCCAUCUCAAAUAGGCCUAUUAUCAGUUGUUUUAAUUUUAAUCAAGCCGAUUUCAAGUUCUUAUCAGAGUGAGAGAGUGUGUGUUUGUGUGUGUUCGUCCUGAUAACCUUAAACUACCCGUCCACCGGACGGGUAUAGAACUAGUUGUAG